rnacentral:piRNA from 1 species
AGCACCAGGAUCUUUGGGUUCAGUUGAGA